UUGACACACAAAUAAAGUGGUUCUCUUCAACAGCUUUGUAGUGUAAGUGAUGGAAUUAGCAUGCCAGCAAGACCAUUCAAAUUAAAAGAAAUGAGAGCUAAUGCUAUUUUCAGAAGUUGGACAAUACAGAGCGCCCCGAGGAGGGCGGUGGCCAGGAGGGGAUGGCAGAGAUGAUGCAGACGAGUGGGACAAGGAAGAGAACUCGGCGUCCCCCGGGAGGAAGAUGAGUACAGGGAUAAUGAUCCGCUGCCACUUUACAAAGCAGGGGCAACUGGGCAAGUUACUCUAAAGAGGAAGCAGAGCUGAUGAUGUCCGGGAUUGAAACCUUGAACUGGUUGAAUAAUGGUGCGAGAUGAGUUACAAUAAUGCCACUUCUUUGCCUUGCGGUCCUCUGGAUGUUCUUCCAGAAAUAACUCAACUUGUGUUACUAGUUGGUAGGCUAAGUGGUGAUAUUGGACUGAUAUUGUUUCUCCGAGUGAGUACACAUUGAGUGAUUGAACUUGGCCAUCUUCUUCAUAGCAUAUUCUCAAUGUUUAAAUCUACAGCUGCACCAACCCAUCAGUAUUUCAGACCUUGUGGGAUGAUGCAAGUGUUCUCCUUGAGAUUAUCAAGCACACAAUCACGUCCUGUUAAUAUGUAUGGGUAUUUUGCUGUUCGUGAUCUCUGAGAGCCAUUUUAGAGUUACAUAUUCAAGCGCUGGAAAGAUGAUCCAGCAACAAUCGCACCGGCUCACUCUUUCGUGCCUCUCCAUAGCCCUUGCCGUGGAAUAUAUGUGUUGCAAUAUAUCUUACUAAACAUUGGUCUUUGGAUAAAAGAGGAUGGAGAUGGAUCUGCGUGCUGACAAAACCGCUGUUUUGUGGGUAUGUCGAAUCGGACGCUUCAAAGGCUGUAUUUGGAAGGACAGCUUCGCAGUGAUUGUCAUGGCUUCGACAUGCAUUAUACUUUUCUGCGGGACAACAUUCAGACUGUUAGACAGGUCCUAGCGGAAGCUGAGCAUUCACCGGAUGUCAGAUUCAGUUCUUCAACCAGUGGUUUUGAUGAGGAAGUAGGACUAUAUGAUGGCACAUUUUGUGGAAAGGGGACAAUAUUCAGGCACUUCAUCUGAAGAAGCAAGACGAAUUGAGCGCAGUUUUGCAAACGAAUGAUUCGCUUAUGUAGAUGGACUUGUCAGGCUGGAGUCGAAGUUGUUGUAGCACCUGAACGCUCUCUGUUAACACGUGCGAGCGGUUGCCCUCUGAACGAUAAAGCCUCUCUGUC